GACGAACGCUGGCGGCGUGCCUAAUACAUGCAAGUGGGACGCAAGGACACACACUGUGCUUGCACACCGUGUUUUCUUGAGUCGCGAACGGGUGAGUAACGCGUAGGUAACCUGCCUAUUAGCGGGGGAUAACUAUUGGAAACGAUAGCUAAUACCGCAUAAUAUUAAUUAUUGCAUGAUAAUUGAUUGAAAGAUGCAAGCGCAUCACUAGUAGAUGGACCUGCGUUGUAUUAGCUAGUUGGUAAGGUAAGAGCUUACCAAGGCGACGAUACAUAGCCGACCUGAGGGGGUGAUCGGCCAAAAUGGGACUGGGACACGGCCCAGACUCCUACGGGAGGCAGCAGUAGGGAAUCUUCGGCAAUGGACGAAAGUCUGACCGAGGAACGCCGCGGGAGUGAAGGAGGGUUUCGGAUCGUAAAGAUCUGUUGUAAGUCAAGAAAGUGUGUGAGAGUGUAAAGUUCACACAGUGACGGUAGCUUACCAGAAAGGGACGGCUAACUACGUG
rnacentral:rRNA from 1 species